UCUCAAAGAUUAAGCCAUGCAUGUCUAAGUUCACACCCUCGUACGGUGAAACCGCGAAUGGCUCAUUAAAUCAGUCGAGGUUCCUUAGAUGAUCCAUUUCUACUUGGAUAACUGUGGUAAUUCUAGAGCUAAUACAUGCCCAACAGCUCCGACCCCGGGCUUCGCGGUUCGGGGAAAGAGCGCUUUUAUUAGUUCAAAACCAGUCGGGGGUUUCGGCCCUCGUGCUUUGGUGACUCUGGAUAACUUUGAGCCGAUCGCAUGGCCUCGAGCCGGCGACGCAUCUUUCAAAUGUCUGCCCUAUCAAAUGACGACGGUACGUGAUCUGCCUACCGUGUUGACUACGGGUAGCGGGGAAUCAGGGUUCGAUUCCGGAGAGGGAGCAUGARAAACGGCUACCACAUCCRAGGA
rnacentral:rRNA from 1 species